CCUACGGGAGGCAGCAGUGGGGAAUAUUGGACAAUGGGGGGAACCCUGAUCCAGCGACGCCGCGUGAGUGAAGAAGUAUUUCGGUAUGUAAAGCUCUAUCAGCAGGGAAGAAAGAAAUGACGGUACCUGACUAAGAAGCCCCGGCUAACUACGUGCCAGCAGCCGCGGUAAUACGAAGGGGGCAAGCGUUAUCCGGAUUUACUGGGUGUAAAGGGGGCGUAGACGGCGAUGCAAGUCUGAAGUGAAAGGCGGGGGCUCAACCUCCGGACUGCUUUGGUAACUGUAUGGCUGGAGUGAAGGAGAGGUAAGUGGAAUACCUAGUGUAGAGGUGAAAUGCGUAGAUAUUAGGAGGAACACCAGUGGCGAAGGCGGCUUACUGGACUGUAACUGACGCUGAGGCUCGAAAGCGUGGGGAGCAAACAGGAUUAGAUACCCGGGUAGUC
rnacentral:rRNA from 1 species